UUGUUAGCCGCCGCGGUAAUACAGAGGGGGCUAGCGUUGUUCGGAAUUACUGGGCGUAAAGGGCGCGUAGGCGGCCCGCUAAGUCGAACGUGAAAUCCCCGGGCUCAACCCGGGAACUGCGUCCGAUACUGGCAGGCUUGAAUCCGGGAGAGGGAUGUGGAAUUCCAGGUGUAGCGGUGAAAUGCGUAGAUAUCUGGAGGAACACCGGUGGCGAAGGCGGCAUCCUGGACCGGUAUUGACGCUGAGGCGCGAAAGCCAGGGGAGCAAACGGGAUUAGAAACCCUCGUAGUCC
rnacentral:rRNA from 1 species